rnacentral:miRNA from 1 species
UAAAGUGCAGAUAGUGGUAGUU